GGUUAUUUAGCUCCAUAUCCAGGAAAACUUGGUCCUGCAGAUUGUUGCAGUGGUUGCCCUCAUUGAGAAUUGCUGCUAUCUCUGUUCCCAUUAGAUUAUUUUCUUCUGCUAGCUGUUUUUCCUUCUGUUGGAGAGCAGUUACCGCCUCGAGCAUCAACUGUGUCUUUCUCAGUCUGAUCUGUCUUAAUAUGGAAUCUAGUUGUUCCUCUAG
rnacentral:misc_RNA from 1 species